rnacentral:rRNA from 1 species
AUGCAGUCGAGCGGAUCGAUGGGAGCUUGCUCCCUGUAGAUCAGCGGCGGACGGGUGAGUAACACGUGGGUAACCUGCCUGUAAGACUGGGAUAACUCCGGGAAACCGGGGCUAAUACCGGAUAACACCUACCCCCGCAUGGGGGAAGGUUGAAAGGUGGCUUCGGCUAUCACUUACAGAUGGACCCGCGGCGCAUUAGCUAGUUGGUGAGGUAACGGCUCACCAAGGCGACGAUGCGUAGCCGACCUGAGAGGGUGAUCGGCCACACUGGGACUGAGACACGGCCCAGACUCCUACGGGAGGCAGCAGUAGGGAAUCUUCCGCAAUGGACGAAAGUCUGACGGAGCAACGCCGCGUGAGUGAAGAAGGUUUUCGGAUCGUAAAACUCUGUUGUUAGGGAAGAACAAGUACCGUUCGAAUAGGGCGGUACCUUGACGGUACCUAACCAGAAAGCCACGGCUAACUACGUGCCAGCAGCCGCGGUAAUACGUAGGUGGCAAGCGUUGUCCGGAAUUAUUGGGCGUAAAGCGCGCGCAGGUGGUUUCUUAAGU